AUGAAACGUUUUCUAUCGGGGUCUACUCUCUCUCAGGUGAGAAAGGAAUUUGGAAAGAGGGUAAUGGAAAUGAUCUUUUGUGUAGUUGAGUCAAACUCUUAGCAGGUACCAGGUCUCAGGUGAGCCCACAGUGCACAGAUUCUUUAAGGGUAAUUCGGGACUGGCGACGAAGAGUUUGAGCAAGAUGACUAACAAAAGGGGAAAUUGGGAUGAUUGAGUUACAGGGGGUUAAUUUGUAUAUUAAAACAUUCGAACCACCACUGCAGAGGUAAAAUGCACGGUAUGGGACGUGCAGGUUCGCGUGUUUUAUUACAUGAAUUAACGGGUAGAGAUGAAGAGUAUUGUAUCGCACUCAUGCAUUGUUGAUGAUAAUAAUUUGGUUUACGAACUAAACAAUCUAAGAGGGUAGACGGGAUGAGAUCGGAUUAAGU
rnacentral:sRNA from 1 species